AAGUGACAGGUGGUGCAUGGUUGUCGUCAGCUCGUGUCGUGAGAUGUUGGGUUAAGUCCCGCAACGAGCGCAACCCUUAAGCUUAGUUGCCAGCAUUAAGUUGGGCACUCUAAGUUGACUGCCGGUGACAAACCGGAGGAAGGUGGGGAUGACGUCAAAUCAUCAUGCCCCUUAUGAUUUGGGCUACACACGUGCUACAAUGGACAAUACAAAGGGCAGCUAAACCGUGAGGUCAUGCAAAUCCCAUAAAGUUGUUCUCAGUUCGGAUUGUAGUCUGCAACUCGACUACAUGAAGCUGGAAUCGCUAGUAAUCGUAGAUCAGCAUGCUACGGUGAAUACGUUCCCGGGUCUUGUACACACCGCCCGUCACACCACGAGAGUCUGUAACACCCGAAGCCGGUGGAGUAACCAUUUAUGGAGCUAGCCGUCGAAGGUGGGACAAAUGAUUGGGGUGAAGUCGUAACAAGGUAGCCGUAUCGGAAGGUGCGGCUGGAUCACCUC
rnacentral:rRNA from 1 species